ensembl:misc_RNA Y_RNA Y RNA
GGCUGGUCCAAUGGCAGUGGGUUAUCAGAACUUAUUAACAUUAGUGUCACUAAAGUUGGUAUACCACCCCCCUACACUGCUAAAUUUGACUGGCUUUAA